rnacentral:lncRNA from 1 species
GGUUGAUAUGGUUUUAGGGAUGGCGGGGAGUCGUCUGGAAAUAGCUGAAGGCUGGAAGCCUGUGUUGAUACAUUAUCUGAUAAAGAGCAAAGAUGCCGUCUGUUCUAGAGGUGCCAUUAUCUACAAAAGAAGAAAAGACGAGAGAGAGAGAGAUGACUGAAUGAUAGCAUCGCCGCAUUGCUCUAUUGAUGGACAGUCUGUCUUCAGCCCCUUCAUGACCACGCUCGCCAUUUCCUGCAACAUCGCAAACCCAAUCUCGGCUCAUCUGAUGAAAAGAAAAAUCUCAAUGAUUUUCUUCCAGGUUUCAGUCCCUGGUGUGACGGACUGGAGGAGAUGGACACAUCUCUUAAUCACAGAGCGGUGGCCAAACAGAGGCUGCAGGAAGACAGACUCAUUAUCAACAAGCCCCCGUGUCCAGCGAGACCACCUCCAGAACCCGAGGGAAUUGAGCAAACACCCGGCCUGAUCCCUGCCUAGUUUACCGCCGGGACCAGAUGAAGCCCUUUAGCUAAUGAGACUCCCUCAUGGUUAGCUGCG